UAUGUGCAUGCAAUACGAUGGAUAUGAUGAGGUUGGAUGCAUUAUGAGGGACAUUUACAAUUUCUGCCAUGCUAACAAGCAGGAAACAAUUUCUUCCGGGGAUGCUCAAACGGUGAUCAAUCACAUGGUGGCGAGGCAAGAGAAAGAUUCAGAUUUUUUCUUCAGGUACUUGGUUGAUGAAGCUGGCCAUCUGAAGGGACUGUUCUGGUGUGAUAGUCAAUCCCGACUUGACUACGAGGCUUUCGGAGACGUUAUUGUUUUUGAUAGCACAUACAGAACCAAUAAGUACAAUCUGCCAUUUGUGCCGUUUGUCGGGUUGAAUCACCACCGCAGCACCGUUAUUUUUGCAUGUGGUAUCAUUUCACAUGAAACAAGCCAGGCAUAUGAGUGGAUGUUACGGACCUUUUCUAAUGCUAUGGGACAGAAGCAUCCUAUAACUGUGAUCACGGAUGGGGACCUUGCAAUGCAGAGAGCAAUUAGGGUGGUGUGGCCUGACUCAAACCAUAGGCUCUGUAUAUGGCACAUUCAGCAGAACAUUGUACGCCAUCUGCAUGAUGACGCGGUAAAGGAGGAAUUCCGAUCUUUCAUAUAUGAUACAUCUUCUAUUGAAGAGCAUGAGAGAAAAUGGUUACACUUCUUACAAUGA
rnacentral:rRNA from 1 species